rnacentral:misc_RNA from 1 species
GCAAUCCUUAAGUUUUCUUUUCUUUUCUUUAAAAGAAAAAUUAAGAUUCAGCUUUCAAAAGUAGAUUUUGAUAUUGCAGGGGCAACCUUCUUUCACGUUCAAAUGGAAACUGCUCUUACUUUUCUAUCUAGUGAUGUUGUAUGAUGCUAGAAUGUGUGUUUUUUGACUAAUCUGGAUUAUGUCGAAGUAAGGACAGUUUUAGAUCAAAUAAAAAGAUUUUGAAAUGAACUGUCACUUUGCUUGCUUAAGAACGGGCUCAAACUAGGCUGAGGACGAUUCAAAACCUAAUCUA